rnacentral:lncRNA from 1 species
CACAAACCAUUCAUGAAGCAUUAUUAACUAUUUACCAAUCACUUAAUCCUGCAUUAGUUAUUAGCUCAUCAAUGAAUCUCAAUUCAAUCUCUAGGCAUACAUGUUGUAAGCCACAUCACAAGAGAUAAUAACAUACAUGCAUAAGAAUAAUCAUAUGGCCCAUAACGAUAUUAGCCGACAUAGGCCAAUUUACAUGACUAAUACUACCUUAAUAACAAGCCAAUGCCUUUGGCUAAAUCAUAAUAUUACAUACUCAUAUUAAAACCCUAUACAUGCCAUAGACUAGAAUCACUUGAGUUUACUUACGCCGAUAGCGUUAACUCGACAGUGUGAUAAUAUCUCUGACGGCCUUCAACCCGAGCUAACCUGGAAACUCUAGAAAACAUGGGAAAGAAGGGGGGGUAAGCUUUCGCUUAGUAAGUUCAUAUGAAAACAAUAAGCAACUCAUUAACUUGUUUUAUCAAUGUUUACAACAUAUUCUCAAGUUCACUGCAAGCUGUCUUCCUGAGCAAUAGUCACUAAAUUAUUUAUAUCUGGAGCUACGAAACUCCAAAUUAAGUUCCGUUAAUUUUCCCUGAAACUAGACUCAUUUAUCUUUCUUUCAUAAAAUUUCCAGAAUUUUUGACUUAGCCAAUUAGUACAGUUUACUCCUCAAGUUUGCUCCUGAUUCACUGUCUGACAGUUUCAACCCUUCUUCACUAAAGUUCAAUUAUCUCAUAGUACAGGAUUCGAAUAAUGUUCUCGUCUAUUUAUCUUGAAACUAUACUCAUAUGUAUACUUACUAAUUUUUUUCUAGAAUUUUUGGUCAAGCCAUUUAGUACAGUUUAUUAGUUAAAGUCUCCCCUGUUUCAGGGUAUGACCACUCUGACCCUUGUGCACUACAAACCGAAUUUCUCCCUGUACAAAAUUCCAACGACGAUUCCAUUUUUUUCCCUUAAAAUAGACUCAAUAAGGAAUCCAUUCAUGUAAGGUAUGACUCUUAAUAAUUUUUUUACAAUUUAUGAUGAAUUUCUAAAGUUAGAACGGGGAUCUCGAAUUCAUUCAAACCCUGUUUUACAAGAAUUCAAAUAUCACACAAUAUAGAAUUCUUUUUCUUCCUCUGUUUCUUUCAUGUGAAAAUAGACUCAUUGAGAUUUAAUCUCAUAUUUUAUUCUGCCUCUAACUAAUUUUCCACUAUUUUUAGUGUAUUUUCAAAGUUACAUUACUACAGUAACUCAAAUCUGUCAAGGCUAAGUUACUCAUUCAUGAUCAUUGUUCACAAAAUUAAUACAACAUCAUUUCAUCCAUCAUGGUAAGAACACAUAUUAUGCAUCAUAGAUCAUCACAUAUCAAGGCAUUCUCAUAGGCUUAAUAUACAUACUUGCACAACUCGUAACAUAACUCAAGUGUAUACUCACCAAUGACUUACCUCGUUGGGACCAUCAUCAACUCUUUCCUUGGAUUACCCGUUGAACACUUGGAAUACUAAUUGGAUACUCGGAAAAGCCUUUGCACAUAAGUGCCUCAAUUGUAGCUAAAGCUACCUCAUAUCUCAUGACGUUUCAAUGCUCACUCUCGAGCUAGUCAUCUAGACUCAUAAUUCCUAGUGACAUGUCACUCGUAUCCUAUUCUAUUUCUAAGGUUCAAACGGGAUUUUUCCUCGUCUAUUAAGGCUUUGUCUUAUCAUAUUUCUAUUAAUCACAUACACUUAAUAUCUGUACAAUUCAUGUCAUGAUAACAUUUAAAUACAUGUAUAGCAUGGUAUUGUUUACAUACAAACUUACCUCGAUACCACAAAGGUGAAAAGGACAUAAUCAUCCCUUAAUCGAUUUCUUUCUGUUCUAGGUCCAAAUCUCGAUUUUCUUGAUCUAUAAUAUCACAUUUAGCCUACCAAUCAGUCACAAUAUUCAUAUGGGUAUAAAAAUCAUAUUUUUACAAAUUUCCAUUUUGACCCCUAAACUUUUGCAUAUUUGCACUUUUGCCUCAAUGCUCGUAAAAUAAUUUUUAUCACAUUUCUUUACUCCUUGAGUCUAGAUGAACCAUUUUCAUAACUAUAGCAACUCAUAAUUUCAACUAUUUUACACAUUACAACUUAUUUUACAACUUAGCAAUCUAGCCCUUUUUUAAGGUGUUUUCAUGUAAUUUCUUUCACAAAAGUUGUUUAUUAGACAACUAGGACUCAUAAUCUUCCAUAAAAACACAGAAAACAACACAUUUACUCUCAUGGCAAAACCCUAGACUCUUCAUCAUUUUGCAAAAUAGUCCCCUCUUAUGAAAGCUCAUGCUUUAGGGGUUCCAAAAAUGUAAAAAUCAUCAAGCAAAGACAUUAAAAUCACUUACAAGCAAGGGAAAUAUGUUGCUGAAAUUUUCCAGCUUCAAAACCCUUUCUUUGCUGCAUAUUUCGGUGAAGGAGAAGAGAAAAAUGAUAGCUUUUUCUUUUUGAUUUGUUAAUAAUAAAACUAGUCAAAAUUGGUGACCAAAUUUCACCUAAUUUUGACUUUUCAACAAUUUUGUCUCCCAUGGCCGGCCAUCACACUUUCAAUGGCCUAAUUUCACUUUAAAGACCCCCAAUUUAAGAUACAAGGCAAUUUAACACACCUUUAGGUAUUAAAACACAACUUUUACCUUUUACGCGAUUUAGUCCUUUUUCGGAAUUGGACUAGAAAUUGCUAAAAUUAACUUACCAAAAUUUACAUGCACUUAUAAAAUUAUAUUAUAACACAUAAAAUAAUACUAAAAUAAUUUUAUC